rnacentral:misc_RNA from 1 species
GUGUCUUGUUUCCAAGAAAAUUGAUAAAGGAACAAUAACUUCAAGGAAACAACAAAAUCAGGAGUAGUGAUCUUAUUCUUGGAAAGCAAAAUAGGAACUCAGGGAAAGGAAAUUUUUUUUUAUCACAAAUAUUUCUGGAAUUUGGAAAAAGUCUGGUUCUCGAGAAAGAAGAAAUUAGGGACAAAAAUAGAGGAAGAACAAAAGUUUUAAGAAUUUCAAGAAACAGGUUUCU